CGAAGCCUGAAGAGAAAAACUAACAAUCACAGCUGACUUCACGGCGACAUAGGGUUUGGUGUACACUUGGGCGAUACGAGUCGCGCUAGCCAAAGCAGGUAAGCGGUUGUGUUACGGCAUACUUUUCCGAAAAAGGCGUAAACAGCGAGAAAAGCAAAAUUGAAAGAAAAAUCAAAUGAGACGAAUACUACAAAAUACUAACCAUAAUAUUAAUAUUAUGUGAUCUGUAAGAGAUUACUUCACAACAGAAAUGCGUCAGUCAUACAGUGAUUUAUGUAUUGGCGUAAAUGGGAAAAUAAGCAGACACAAAAUUUAGGUCGAAAAUAUUAGAUAAGAAAAUCUCGCGAGCAGGUGAUGAUGUAAGUAGUGUUCACUUUGACCUUAACCCUCCGUCAAAUGGAUAGAGUAUUGAGAACACCGCUAUUCAAAAAGUUUUCAUUAGUCAAUAUUUUAUAUUCAUCUUUUUAUAAACGCUUUUUAUAAGUGUGUGAAUUUUAAAAGGAAAAUUCUACGCGUCUACAAAUUUGGAAUUAAAUUGUUUGCGACUUAUGGACACAAGUACCGGGGCAUUGUAUUGGAAAAAUAGGAAGUAGUCGUGGAGACAAGUCAAGAAAACAUCAAUAAAGUUGAUUAUGUAAAUGUAAAACGAUGUUGGUCUUCUUUAAUAUGAUGGAAGUCUUUGGGCGAGCAAUAUAUCUAGAUAGGCAUAGUAGUAUAACGUUGCCCCAAAGUGUACGAAUAAACUACAUACUCGUAAACCCGCGUCUGACUUUCGGGAGGCUGUUGUCACCUACAGUAUAAGCGAAAUGCGGCUUAGUAUAAAGUGUAGAUCUCUGCAUUUU